CUCAGUGGAAGAGGUCGUAAUGACAUUUUCUACUACUUCCAGAUAUUUGAAGUCAUUGGAGUCAUUGUCAUUUUGGUUUUAAUAGAGAGAAGAUCAGGGUUCAUUAUCUUGUUUUUACCUUUCUAGUGAAGAUAUACAUCUGACAUUUGGUUGUCGGAAAGAACUUUUUGUGUAGAUUACGAAUCAGCAACCAGAUUACAGGUUCCAAAAAAUAGAGCCAUAAGCCCUUUAAGUUGACCGCAAAGAGUGGUAGAGGCUGGACAGACCGGUAGAUCUGUUUACAUGCCGAAUCAAAUGAUGAUGUGGGCUAUACAUUAAUAGAUAUUUAAAAAUCCCCGCACAACAGCAGUACAAGAAAACAGACACAGGUUUAUUCAUCUUCAUAAGGUUUCGGGUUAUAAGAUAAACUUCAAACACAACUUCUU